rnacentral:tRNA from 2 species
GGGCGGUUAGCUCAGUGGGAGAGCGCUUGACUCACAUUCAAGAGGUCAGAGGUUCGAAUCCUCUACCGCCCACCA